rnacentral:rRNA from 1 species
AGAGGGUGCGAGCGUUGUUCGGAAUUACUGGGCGUAAAGCGCGCGCAGGCGGCCUUUUAAGUCUCGUGGUGAAAUGCCGGGGCUCAACCCCGUGCCCGCCGGAGAUACUGGGAGGCUGGAGACGAGUAGAGGCAAGCGGAAUUCCGGGUGUAGCGGUGGAAUGCGUAGAGAUCCGGAAGAACACCGGAGGCGAAGGCGGCUUGCUGGGCUCAUGUCUGACGCUGAGGCGCGAAAGCGUGGGGAGCGAACAGGAUUAGAUACCCUGGUAGUCCACGCCGUAAACGAUGGGCACUAGACGCGGGUGGGAUCGACCCCUUCCGUGUCGCAGCUAACGCGAUAAGUGCCCCGCCUGGGGAGUACGGCCGCAAGGCUG